rnacentral:rRNA from 1 species
CUAAGGCGAGGCCGAAAGGCGUAGUCGAUGGGAAACGGGUUAAUAUUCCCGUACUUGGUGUUACUGCGAAGGGGGGACGGAGAAGGCUAUGUUGGCCGGGCGACGGUUGUCCCGGUUUAAGCGUGUAGGUGUGUGUUCCAGGUAAAUCCGGUUCACUUUAACACUGAGGCGUGAUGACGAGGCACUACGGUGCUGAAGCAACAAAUGCCCUGCUUCCAGGAAAAGCCUCUAAGCAUCAGGUAACACGAAAUCGUACCCCAAACCGACACAGGUGGUCAGGUAGAGAAUACCAAGGCGCUUGAGAGAACUCGGGUGAAGGAACUAGGCAAAAUGGUGCCGUAACUUCGGGAGAAGGCACGCUGACACGUAGGUGAAGUGAUUUACUCAUGGAGCUGAAGUCAGUCGAAGAUACCAGCUGGCUGCAACUGUUUAUUAAAAACACAGCACUGUGCAAACACGAAAGUGGACGUAUACGGUGUGACGCCUGCCCGGUGCCGGAAGGUUAAUUGAUGGGGUCAGCGCAAGCGAAGCUCCUGAUCGAAGCCCCGGUAAACGGCGGCCGUAACUAUAACGGUCCUAAGGUAGCGAAAUUCCUUGUCGGGUAAGUUCCGACCUGCACGAAUGGCGUAAUGAUGGCCAGGCUGUCUCCACCCGAGACUCAGUGAAAUUGAACUCGCUGUGAAGAUGCAGUGUACCCGCGGCAAGACGGAAAGACCCCGUGAACCUUUACUAUAGCUUGACACUGAACAUUGAGCCUUGAUGUGUAGGAUAGGUGGGAGGCUUUGAAGUGUGGACGCCAGUCUGCAUGGAGCCGACCUUGAAAUACCACCCUUUAAUGUUUGAUGUUCUAACGUGGACCCGUUACCCGGGUUGCGGACAGUGUCUGGUGGGUAGUUUGACUGGGGCGGUCUCCUCCUAAAGAGUAACGGAGGAGCACGAAGGUUGGCUAAUCCUGGUCGGACAUCAGGAGGUUAGUGCAAUGGCAUAAGCCAGCUUGACUGCGAGCGUGACGGCGCGAGCAGGUGCGAAAGCAGGUCAUAGUGAUCCGGUGGUUCUGAAUGGAAGGGCCAUCGCUCAACGGAUAAAAGGUACUCCGGGGAUAACAGGCUGAUACCGCCCAAGAGUUCAUAUCGACGGCGGUGUUUGGCACCUCGAUGUCGGCUCAUCACAUCCUGGGGCUGAAGUAGGUCCCAAGGGUAUGGCUGUUCGCCAUUUAAAGUGGUACGCGAGCUGGGUUUAGAACGUCGUGAGACAGUUCGGUCCCUAUCUGCCGUGGGCGCUGGAGAACUGAGGGGGGCUGCUCCUAGUACGAGAGGACCGGAGUGGACGCAUCACUGGUGUUCGGGUUGUCAUGCCAAUGGCACUGCCCGGUAGCUAAAUGCGGAAGAGAUAAGUGCUGAAAGCAUCUAAGCACGAAACUUGCCCCGA